AUGUACAUCAAGAUUGAAUCAAUAAGGUUGGCUUUCAAUUUACAACCGUCAACUCAAGUUCUCAUACGUGCAGAUUUAUAUCAAGGAUUGGUUGAUAGCGUUGUAGCUGGUGAGACACGUGCAUGCAUGACAGGAAAGCGUAUUGUGCUCCCCCCAAAAUUUAUUGGAGGACCAAGAGACAUGCGUCGAAGGUAUUUAGAUACAAUGGCAUUGGUCCAGCGGUUCGGGAAGCCAGACUUAUUCAUUAGAAUGACUUGCAACCCGCAGUGGGAAGAGAUAACUAGAGAGUUGGAACCAGGCCAAUCACCACAAGAUCGUCCAGAUUUGGUAGCACGGGUCUUCAAGGCAAAGUUGGAGGAUCUUAAAGAUCUUUUAUUCAAGAGAAAAUUAUUUGGUGAAGUCGUCGCACAUGUUCAUGUAAUAGAAUUUCAGAAGAGAGGCCUACCGCAUGCACACUUCUUAAUUAUUCUGAAGUCAAAUUGUAAGAUUACUAAUCCAGAUCAAUAUGAUGAGAUAAUAUCAGCAGAGAUCCCAGAUAAAGACAAAUACCCUGUAUUACAUGCUUUAGUUAUUAAGCACAUGAUGCACGGACCAUGUGGAGUUCUCAACAGUAAGAAUGCUUGCAUGGAAAAUGGAAAUUGUAGAUACCAUUAUCCGCGGACAUUCUCAGAUACAACGUUACAGGGAAAGGAUUCAUAUCCAAUUUAUAGACGGAGGGAUGAUGGUCGUCGAGUGCGCAUUAGGGGUGCGGUGUUGGAUAAUAGAUGGGUUGUUCCUUACAACCCAUAUCUACUUAUGCGAUACAAUUGCCAUAUCAAUAUAGAAGUUUGCUCGAGCAUUAAGGCUGUUAAAUAUUUAUUUAAGUACAUAUACAAAGGUCAUGAUCGCGCCUCCUUUGUCAUUGAGUCCAGAGGAGAUAAUGUUGUUAUUGAUGAGAUUCGUGAAUAUAGGGAUGCAAGGUUUAUAUCACCUCCAGAGGCAAUAUGGAGGAUUUAUUCUUUCAAUCUAAGUGAGAUGUCACCUUCAGUUUUGCAGUUGCAGGUCCAUUUGCCAAAUAUGCAUCUUGUGCAUUAUGAAGACUCUGAUAAUUUGGAUAAUGUUUUACGCAGAGAAUCAUCUUCAAAAACAAUGCUUAGUGAGUAUUUUAGAAUGAAUUCUGUUGACAUUUACGUGAGGAAUUUCUUGUAUAAGGAGUUUCCGGAAUAUUUUGUGUGGGAUAGCAGUUGCAAAAGUUGGAGACGUCGCAAGCAGAAACGAAUUCAGAUUGGGAGACUUGUGUCCGCGCACCCUGCUGAAGGAGAGCGUUAUUACUUGAGGAUACUACUAAACCACGUCAGGGGAGCCAAAUCAUUUGAGGAUCUACGAACGGUUGAAGGUACUAUUUUCUCGACUUUUAGAGAGGCUGCACAGAGAAGGGGUUUCAUUGAAGAUGAUCAUAGUAUUUCUGAUUGUCUCAGCGAGGCUGCGACAUUUCAAAUGCCCUCUGCACUUAGAAGACUUUUUGCAACAAUUUUAGUUUUCUGUGAGGUAACAAAUGUCCGUGAACUGUGGGAUAAGCAUUUAGAAGCCAUGUGUGAUGGUUUUCGAAGAGAAAAUGUAAACGCUGAAGUAACUGAGCAGAUGGUGCUUAAAGAUCUUAGAAGUCUGUUAUAUUCAAUGGGGAAGGACAUAAAUAACUUUGACUUGCCAUGCUUAUUGGAUAGCAAUGAUUUGGAGAGCUUAAGUUGGAGAGAAGUAUGUGAUGAGAUGUCUAUUGAGGUUGAGCAGGAACACUUGGAUUUGUAUGACAAACUAAAUAGUGAGCAGCGACUUGCUUUUGAUGAGAUAAUGACUCAUGUCUUGCACUAG
rnacentral:rRNA from 1 species